CUUGCGGCCGCUAAUCUCGAGAGCGAAUCGGCGUUAUCGAGUCUAGGGACAUUUGGGUGACAUGAAAGAAUGGUUCUCCUGAAUUAUUUCUAGUCUAUCAUUCGUGAAAGAGAACUUUUUUUUCGAUAUAGAAGAUAUGUUUAUUUAUUCAUUUGUUUAUUUAUUAAACGGAUAAAAUUAAUUUUCAUUAAAGAUAUUUAUAUAAGUUAUAUGAACGUGUGUAAAAAAGAUUUUACAAAUUCGUAUGGGAUCAUUAAUUAAUUCAGAUAUAUAUGAAUUAAAAGCAUAUAAAAGUUUCUAAUCUAGAUAUUUUUAUCAGUCUCAUUAUUUAAUUAUUUAUUUUUACUAAAAUGGAGGUUUUUAUGCAAUUAAAACAAAUUUCUCGAUAAAUUGUUAUUAUUUAUGUCUUAAAAAAUUGAAUUGGGACAAGAUCUUAGCGAAAUGAAUUGAAUACCAGGGAAAAAAAUAAGGAAUAAUGUCAACGAAACGAUUAUGGGAUGCAAGAGAUCUCGUUCGUAGUCAUAAGCAAAUAUUUGAAAAAAAAAUGGCUGUCUCCUCUGGGCAAUUGCCGCGGGCGCUUAUUUCGAAGUAAAAGUGAAAUGUUUUCUGCUCCAAGGUUUCGAGAUUUCGAGAAGUCGAGUGGUUGGAGAGGAAUCGUUUUGCUGCUAGUUUGGAAUCUUAAAUUACGUGCAUACUGGAAACACAAUCCUUGGAAACACUAUAUAAAUUACAUAAUUGUAGACACAAAAUCGAUUGUAGAAGUACAAGUUUUACACGUAUGGAAUUGACGUGUUUUUCAUCCAUGUGGCAUAUUUUUAUAACUUACAUUUUGACUCAGAGGAUACUAUAUGAAAUAUGAGAUUAAAUUAUAAAUCAUUAUGCGCCAUUAUUACAUCACUGGAUGAUACACAAUAGCGAUAUGAAACGAGAAUACGCAAUAAACUCAUUUUAAAAAAAUUACCUGAUUUGUAUCUCAAUUUCUUGAUUAAUUUUUAUUGCUUAAUUUUCCACCAAUAAAAGUUACAAAAUAGAUAUAUAAUUGGAAGAUUAAAAAAGAAAUUGAAAAAGAAAAUUGGGAAAAUUUGUAAAGAAGAUUUUUUUUUUGCUCUUGAAUAAGAGUUGAUUAAAUUUUUCGGAAGACAUAUCUUCAGAGGAAGAUAGAAGAUCCACAUAAGCAACAUGGAUUGAUACUUGAGAAUAUUGCGCAAGUACUAUAUAACUAUACACCGACGCGGUUAAUCGCGAAACAAGCGCGAGAAAAUUUAAACGAUAGAAAGUCGAAUGGAAAGACGUAUAUACCAAUGUAUAUAAAAUGUGCAUCUGUAGAUGAUUCGUAUAUUAUCUUAUGAAUAUUUAUACAAUUAUAUUUUAUAAGGAAAUUCACCUAAUUCGAAAAUUUUGAUUUUAUUGAAAAUUUGUAUGUAUGUAAUAGAAUAUAUGGGAUACAUGGAA